rnacentral:tRNA from 1 species
GCCGUCGGCGGGGCCGGCGGCGGGGAAGCCCUUGGGGCCUUCGACGCUCUGGGGUUCGUAGGAGAUGGCGCCGCAGUUCGACACCGCGCCGCUGGCGC